rnacentral:rRNA from 1 species
UGAGCAAUCUGCCCUUCUCAUCGGAAUAAAGCGUUGGAAACGACGUCUAAUGCCGAAUACGACCUCCUUUCGCAUGAUCGGAGGUGGAAAGCUCCGGCGGAGAAGGAUGAGCUCGCGGCCUAUCAGCUAGUUGGUGUGGGUAAUGGCCCACCAAGGCGACGACGGGUAGCCGGCCUGAGAGGGCGACCGGCCACACUGGGACUGAGACACGGUCCAGACUCCUACGGGAGCAG